GGGGACGUGGUGUACGGUGCACCGCUGCAUUACUUAAUUGAGGCGUUAAUUAGGUUAUGCAGCAGGCCGGGGUUCGACUCCCCGCGUCCUCC